rnacentral:rRNA from 1 species
UACAUGGGGUGCAAACGUUUGCUCGGAAUUAUUGGGCGUAAAGCGCGCGUAGGCGGUUACUCAAGUCGGAUGUGAAAGCCCUUGGCUUAACCGAGGAAGUGCAUCCGAAACUGGCGAGCUAGAGUACGAAAGAGGAUCGCGGAAUUCCCGGUGUAGAGGUGAAAUUCGUAGAUAUCGGGAGGAACACCGGUGGCGAAGGCGGCGAUCUGGGUCGAUACUGACGCUGAGGUGCGAAAGCGUGGGGAGCAAACAGG